rnacentral:rRNA from 1 species
UUGAUCCUGCCGGAGGUUACUGCUAUCGAGGUUCGACUAAGCCAUGCGAGUCGAAUGUAGCAAUACAUGGCGUACUGCUCAGUAACACGUGGACAACCUACCCUUAGGCCGGGGAUAAACCCGGGAAACUGGGUAUAAUACCCGAUAGUCCUCGACUGCUGGAAUGCAUCGAGGACUAAAGCUCCGGCGCCUAAGGAUGGGUCUGCGGCCUAUCAGGUAGUAGUGGGUGUAGCGUACCUACUAGCCUACGACGGGUACGGGUUGUGAGAGCAAGAGCCCGGAGAUGGAUUCUGAGACACGAAUCCAGGCCCUACGGGGUGCAGCAGGCGCGAAAACUUUACAAUGCUGGAAACAGCGAUAAGGGGACCUCGAGUGCCAGGUUACAAAUCUGGCUGUCGUGAUGCCUAAAAAGCAUUGCAUAGCAAGGGCCGGGCAAGACCGGUGCCAGCCGCCGCGGUAACACCGGCGGCUCGAGUGGUAACCGUUAUUAUUGGGUCUAAAGGGUCUGUAGCCGGCCGGAUAAGUCUCUUGGGAAAUCUGGCAGCUUAACUGUCAGGCUUUCAGGAGAUACUGUCUGGCUCGAGGCCGGGAGAGGUGAGAGGUACUUCAGGGGUAGGGGUGAAAUCUUGUAAUCCUUGAAGGACCACCAGUGGCGAAGGCGUCUCACCAGAACGGACCUGACGGCAAGGGACGAAAGCUAGGGGCACGAACCGGAUUAGAUACCCGGGUAGUCCUAGCCGUAACGAUACUCGCUAGGUGUCGGCCACGGUGCGACCGUUGUCGGUGCCGUAGGGAAGCCGUGAAGCGAGCCACCUGGGAAGUACGGCCGCAAGGCUGAAACUUAAAGGAAUUGGCGGGGGAGCACCACAACGGGUGGAGCUUGCGGUUUAAUUGGAUUCAACGCCGGAAA